AGUGAACGCUGGCGGCAGGCCUAAUACAUGCAAGUCGAACGGCAGCACAGCAGAGCUUGCUCUGUGGGUGGCGAGUGGCGGACGGGUGAGGAAUACAUGGGAAUCUGCCCAGUCGUGGGGGAUAACGUAUGGAAACGUACGCUAAUACCGCAUGCGCCCUAAGGGGGAAAGCCGGGGACCGCAAGGCCUGGCGCGAUUGGAUGAGCCCAUGUUCGAUUAGCUAGUUGGCGGGGUAAAGGCCCACCAAGGCGACGAUCGAUAGCUGGUCUGAGAGGAUGAUCAGCCACACUGGAACUGAGACACGGUCCAGACUCCUACGGGAGGCAGCAGUAGGGAAUAUUGGACAAUGGGGGCAACCCUGAUCCAGCCAUGCCGCGUGAGUGAAGAAGGCCUCGGUUGUAAAGCUCUUUUGUCCGGAAAGAAAAGCAAUCGGUUAAUACCCGGGUGUUCUGACGGUACCGGAAGAAUAAGCACCGGCUAACUUCGUGCC
rnacentral:rRNA from 1 species